rnacentral:rRNA from 1 species
ACGUAGGGUGCGAGCGUGUCCGGAAUACUGGGCGUAAAGAGCUCGUAGGUGGUUUGUCGCGUUGUUCGUGAAAUCUCACGGCUUAACUGUGAGCGUGCGGGCGAUACGGGCAGACUUGAGUACUGCAGGGGAGACUGGAAUUCCUGGUGUAGCGGUGGAAUGCGCAGAUAUCAGGAGGAACACCGGUGGCGAAGGCGGGUCUCUGGGCAGUAACUGACGCUGAGGAGCGAAAGCGUGGGGAGCGAACAGGAUUAGAUACCCUGGUAGUCCACGCCGUAAACGGUGGGUACUAGGUGUGGGUUUCCUUCCUUGGGAUCCGUGCCGUAGCUAACGCAUUAAGUACCCCGCCUGGGGAGUACGGCCGCAAGGCUAAAACUCAAAGAAAUUGACGGGGGCCCGCACAAGCGGCGGAGCAUGUGGAUUAAUUCGAUGCAACGCGAAGAACCUUACCUGGGUUUGACAUGCACAGGACGCCGGCAGAGAUGUCGGUUCCCUUGUGGCCUGUGUGCAGGUGGUGCAUGGCUGUCGUCAGCUCGUGUCGUGAGAUGUUGGGUUAAGUCC